rnacentral:rRNA from 1 species
UACGAAGGGGGCUAGCGUUGUUCGGAAUCACUGGGCGUAAAGCGCACGUAGGCGGACAUUUAAGUCAGGGGUGAAAUCCCGGGGCUCAACCCUGGAACUGCCUUUGAUACUGGGUGUCUUGGAGUCCGGGAGAGGUGAGUGGAACUGCGAGUGUAGAGGUGAAAUUCGUAGAUAUUCGCAAGAACACCAGUGGCGAAGGCGGCUCACUGGACUGGUAUUGACGCUGAGGUGCGAAAGCGUGGGGAGCAAACAGGG